GACGAACGCUGGCGGCGUGCCUAAUACAUGCAAGUCGAACGAACUCUGGUAUUGAUUGGUGCUUGCAUCAUGAUUUACAUUUGAGUGAGUGGCGAACUGGUGAGUAACACGUGGGAAACCUGCCCAGAAGNGGGGGAUAACACCUGGAAACAGAUGCUAAUACCGCAUAACAACUUGGACCGCAUGGUCCGAGNUUGAAAGAUGGCUUCGGCUAUCACUUUUGGAUGGUCCCGCGGCGUAUUAGCUAGAUGGUGNGGUAACGGCUCACCAUGGCAAUGAUACGUAGCCGACCUGAGAGGGUAAUCGGCCACAUUGGGACUGAGACACGGCCCAAACUCCUACGGGAGGCAGCAGUAGGGAAUCUUCCACAAUGGACGAAAGUCUGAUGGAGCAACGCCGCGUGAGUGAAGAAGGGUUUCGGCUCGUAAAACUCUGUUGUUAAAGAAGAACAUAUCUGAGAGUAACUGUUCAGGUAUUGACGGUAUUUAACCAGAAAGCCACGGCUAACUACGUGCCAGCAGCCGCGGUAAUACGUAGGUGGCAAGCGUUGUCCGGAUUUAUUGGGCGUAAAGCGAGCGCAGGCGGUUUUUUAAGUCUGAUGUGAAAGCCUUCGGCUCAACCGAAGAAGUGCAUCGGAAACUGGGAAACUUGAGUGCAGAAGAGGACAGUGGAACUCCAUGUGUAGCGGUGAAAUGCGUAGAUAUAUGGAAGAACACCAGUGGCGAAGGCGGCUGUCUGGUCUGUAACUGACGCUGAGGCUCGAAAGUAUGGGUAGCAAACAGGAUUAGAUACCCUGGUAGUCCAUACCGUAAACGAUGAAUGCUAAGUGUUGGAGGGUUUCCGCCCUUCAGUGCUGCAGCUAACGCAUUAAGCAUUCCGCCUGGGGAGUACGGCCGCAAGGCUGAAACUCAAAGGAAUUGACGGGGGCCCGCACAAGCGGUGGAGCAUGUGGUUUAAUUCGAAGCUACGCGAAGAACCUUACCAGGUCUUGACAUACUAUGCAAAUCUAAGAGAUUAGACGUUCCCUUCGGGGACAUGGAUACAGGUGGUGCAUGGUUGUCGUCAGCUCGUGUCGUGAGAUGUUGGGUUAAGUCCCGCAACGAGCGCAACCCUUAUUAUCAGUUGCCAGCAUUAAGUUGGGCACUCUGGUGAGACUGCCGGUGACAAACCGGAGGAAGGUGGGGAUGACGUCAAAUCAUCAUGCCCCUUAUGACCUGGGCUACACACGUGCUACAAUGGAUGGUACAACGAGUUGCGAACUCGCGAGAGUAAGCUAAUCUCUUAAAGCCAUUCUCAGUUCGGAUUGUAGGCUGCAACUCGCCUACAUGAAGUCGGAAUCGCUAGUAAUCGCGGAUCAGCAUGCCGCGGUGAAUACGUUCCCGGGCCUUGUACACACCGCCCGUCACACCAUGAGAGUUUGUAACACCCAAAGUCGGUGGGGUAACCUUUUAGGAACCAGCCGCCUAAGGUGGGACAGAUGAUUAGGGUGAAG
rnacentral:rRNA from 2 species